GUUGUUGCAGUUAAAAAGCUCGUAGUUGAAUUUCGGGAUCAAUGUUUCGGUCAUGCCGUUGGUAUGUACUGAUAUUAUUGAUUUCUCACCUUCUAAAGAACCGUAAUGCCAUUAAUUUGGUGUCACGGGGAAUUAGGACUGUUACCUUGAAAAAAUUAGAGUGUUUAAAGCAGGCUUACGCUUGAAUACAUUAGCAUGGAAUAAUGAAAUAGGACAUCCGAUUCUAUUUUGUUGGUUUCUAGGAUCGAUGUAAUGAUUAAUAGGGAUAGUUGGGGGCAUUAGUAUUCAAUUGUCAGAGGUGAAAUUCUUGGAUUCAUUGAAGACUAACUACUGCGAAAGCAUUUGCCAAGGAUGUUUCCAUUAAUCAAGAACGAAAGUUAGGGGAUCGAAGACGAUCAGAUACCGUCGUAGUCUUAACCAUAAACUAUGCCGACUAGGGAUCGGAUGAUGUUAAUUUUUUAAUGACUCAUUCGGCGCCUUACGGGAAAC
rnacentral:rRNA from 1 species